GAUGAACGCUGGCGGCGUGCCUAACACAUGCAAGUCGAACGGAAAGGCCCUGCUGUUGUGGGGUGCUCGAGUGCCGAACGGGUGAGUGACACGCGAGUAACCUGCCCUUGACUUAGGGGUAACAUAAGGGGACUGGGGCUCUUAAAGGGUAGGAGCUCAUGCCGCACGGUGGGGGAUGGAAAGUUUCGGCGGUGGGGAAUGGACUCGCGGUAUAUCAGCUUGUAGGUGGGGUAGUGGCUUACCACGGCUUUGAAGGGUACCCGGCCUGGGAGGGUGACCGGCCACAUUGGGACUGAGAUACGGCCCAGACUCCUACGGGACGCAACGGUGGGGAGUAUUACACAGCAAGCUGAAGCCAGAUGCAGCGACGCCGCGUGCGGGAAGACGGCCUUCGGGUUGUAAACCGCUGUCGCCUGAGACGAGGCGUUAGUGACGGUAAUUGAUAAAGAAGCACCGGCUAACUACGUG
rnacentral:rRNA from 1 species